rfam:Picea glauca, whole genome shotgun sequence.
ACAUGCCUACAAAAUGGUUUUAAUGCAUCAGAUCCCAUUAGAAUUCCACAGUUAAGCACACUUGGGCUAGAGUAGUACUGGGAUGGGUGACUGCCCAGGAAGUCCUAGCGUUUUACAUGCU